GAUGAGCUUCGGUCGAAUGGUAAAACUUCUCUUUUCCAAGGGGAGCUUCUGGAAGAACCUGAAAAUUUGAGUUUCCAGGUAAUAUAUUUAGGAACUUAUCCCUCUGGUUUAUCCAACUGUCUCUCACAUAGUCCAUGUGUACUGGUGCUUCAGAAACCAUGCAAUCCCUUGGGUGAAAGGCUCCAUUGGCACUAACCAUCAAGGGAGAAUCCCGGCCAGGUAAAAAGGGUUUAGUGUCACGCUCUGCCACGGAUGACAUGAGCUGCAGAUUGAGAUGCCCUUUAAAGGCCGGUUCGUAAUAU
rnacentral:lncRNA from 1 species